UACGGGGGGAGCAAGCGUUGUUCGGAUUUACUGGGCGUAAAGGGCGCGUAGGCGGCCACCGCAAGUCAGUUGUGAAAGCUCUGGGCUUAACCCAGAAAGGUCAACUGAUACUGCGGGGCUAGAGUGCAGAAGGGGCAACUGGAAUUCUCGGUGUAGCGGUGAAAUGCGUAGAUAUCGGGAGGAACACCAGUGGCGAAGGCGAGUCUCUGGGAUGAUGCUGACGCUGAGGCGCGAAAGCCAGGGGAGCAAACGGG
rnacentral:rRNA from 1 species